rnacentral:misc_RNA from 1 species
GUGAGUCAUCGAAUCUUUGAACGCACUUUGCACCUUGUGGCUUUUGUCACUAGGUAUACUUGUUUGAGUAUCCAAAACAAUCUCACCUCCCUUUCGGGGCGAAGUGGACUUGAGAGCAUCGAUGAAGAGAGUGCGCGUGCGCCUUACCGGGGGCAAGCGUGGUCGCGUCGUCGUCUCUUUGAAUACAUGGUCCUUUGUGGGAGGUCUCCGUCUGGAGCCUGACAGACUAUUGGGAUAACAUCCUGACGAUCGUUUGUCGGUUCGCAUACGUACGCGUAUGAAUGGACGUUGACCGACCUU